rnacentral:rRNA from 1 species
UGGGGAAUAUUGGACAAUGGGCGAAAGCCUGAUCCAGCCAUGCCGCGUGUGUGAAGAAGGCCUUUUGGUUGUAAAGCACUUUAAGCGAGGAGGAGGCUACUUAGAUUAAUACUCUAGGAUAGUGGACGUUACUCGCAGAAUAAGCACCGGCUAACUCUGUGCCAGCAGCCGCGUCAAUACUGAGGGUGCGAGCGUUAAUCGGAUUUACUGGGCGUAAAGCGUGCGUAGGCGGCUUUUUAAGUCGGAUGUGAAAGCCCUGAGCUUAACCUAGGAAUUGCAUUCGAUACUGGGAAGCUAGAGUAUGGGAGAGGAUGGUAGAAUUCCAGGUGUACCGGUGAAAUGCGUAGAGAUCUGGAGGAAUACCGAUGGCGAAGGCAGCCAUCUGGCCUAAUACUGACGAUGAGGUACGAUAGCAUGGGGAGCAAACAGG